rnacentral:snRNA from 1 species
AGCUUUGUGCAGUGGCAGUAUCGUAGCCAAUGAGGUUUAUCUAAGGCAUGAUUAUUGCUAAUUGAAUAUUUGGAGAUAAAA